rnacentral:rRNA from 1 species
UUAAGUAAGGAAGGGCGUACGGAGGAUGCCUGGCCACUCCAGAGUGAAGAAGGACGCGCCAAACUGCGAAAAGCGUCGGCGAGCUGUAAGGAAGCGACGACCCGGCGGUGUCCGAAUGGGGGAACCCGGCAGCCAUCAUCGGCUGUCAUCCAUGACUGAAUCCAUAGGUUAUGGAGAGGUACCCGGGGAACUGAAACAUCUAAGUACCCGGAGGAAAAGAAAACAAGAGUGAUUCCCUGAGUAGCGGCGAGCGAAAGGGGAGCAGCCCAAACCGGUCCUUGGACCGGGGUUGUAGGACCGCGACACGGCAAGAACGAGGAUAGGAGAACACGAUUGAAAGCGUGACCGAAGAGGGUGCAAGUCCCGUAACCGAAAUCCGAGUGAAGCCCAGCGGGAUCCUGAGUACGGCGAGACACGAGGAAUCUUGUCGGAAGCAGGCAGGACCAUCUGCCAAGGCUAAAUAUCCAGGGAGUGAGCGAUAGCGGACCAGUACCGUGAGGGAAAGGUGAAAAGAACCGCGGGAGCGGAGUGAAAGAGAACCUGAAACCGUAUGCCUACAAGAAGUCAGAGCCCGUUAAAGGGUGAUGGCGUGCCUUUUGUAGAAUGAACCGGCGAGUUACGAUGGACUGCGAGGUUAAGCGGGAAAACGCGGAGCCGAAGCGAAAGCGAGUCUGAAUAGGGCCGAAGUAGGACAUCGUAGACCCGAAACCGGGUGAUCUAGCCAUGAGCAGGUUGAAGUUGAGGUGAAACUCAAUGGAGGACCGAACCGACCACCGUUGAAAAGUUGGCGGAUGACUUGUGGCUAGGGGAGAAAUUCCAAUCGAACCCGGAGAUAGCUGGUUCUCCCCGAAAUAGCUUUAGGGCUAGCGUCGGAAAGAACUUGUGCGGAGGUAGAGCACUGAAUGUGUGAUGGCCCCAUCCCGGGGUACUGAAUAUAAUCAAACUCCGAAUGCCGCAUGAGAUGUCCGGCAGUCAGACCGUGAGUGAUAAGGUCCAUGGUCAAGAGGGAAACAGCCCAGACCGCCAGCUAAGGUCCCGAAAUACAGGCUAAGUGGAAAAGGAUGUGGGGAUGCCCAGACAACUAGGAGGUUGGCUCAGAAGCAGCCAUCCUUCAAAGAGUGCGUAACAGCUCACUAGUCGAGUGACCCUGCGCCGAAAAUGUACCGGGGCUAAGCCUGAUACCGAAGCUGCGGAUUUGAAUAUGAUUCAAGUGGUAGGGGAGCGUUGCAUACAGGUAGAAGCCGUACCGUGAGGAACGGUGGACCGUAUGGAAGUGAGAAUGCCGGUGUGAGUAGCGAGAUGUAGGUGAGAAUCCUACACACCGAAAGCCCAAGGAUUCCAGGGGAAGGUUCGUCCGCCCUGGGUAAGUCGGGACCUAACGCGAGGCCGAGAGGCGUAGUGGAUGGCAAGCAGGCGGAAAUUCCUGCACCCGUACAUGGAGCGAAGGAGUGACGGAGAAGGCUAGUAUGACCCUCUUAACGGAUUGAGGGCGAAGCGGGGUACCUGAUGGUUAGGCAAAUCCGGCCAUCGAAAGGGGAAGACGUGACAGGUAAGCGAACGUUUCGGCAAGUAGCGAAGCAUAUGAGGCCAGCUUCCAAGAAAAGCUUCUAAGCCUAUGCAUGUGCGGCCCGUACCAAAACCGACACAGGUGGGCAGGGAGAGUAUCCCGAGGUGAGCGAGAGAACUGUUGCCAAGGAACUCGGCAAAAUGGCUCCGUACGUUCGCAAGAAGGAGCGCUCAUGAAGAGUGAGCCGCAGUGAAGAGGCCCAAGCGACUGUUUAACUAAAACACAGCUCUCUGCGAAGUCGCAAGACGAAGUAUAGGGGGUGACACCUGCCCGGUGCCGGAAGGUUAAGAGGAUCUGUCAAUCGCAAGAUGAAGCAGUGAGUUGAAGCCCCGGUGAACGGCGGCCGUAACUAUAACGGUCCUAAGGUAGCGAAAUUCCUUGUCAGGUAAGUUCUGACCCGCACGAAAGGCGU